rnacentral:pre_miRNA from 12 species
GGGCCAGGCCUCCAGUUGGUUCCUACCCCCUGUAACAGCAACUCCAUGUGGAAGUGCCCACUGGUUCCAGUGGGGCUGCUGUUAUCGGGGAUGGGGACCUGUACCCACGGAGGAGGAG